GGGUCCUGCAUCCGAGGCAUCCCCGAUCCAUCCAGCAUCUUCUCGCGCAGUCUUCUUCGACCCGCUGCCACAGUCCCGGCGCCCCAGGCCCUGCGCAGAUGAAGACCUUCCCUCGGACGGCUUUGCGGGCCCUGCCUCAGCCGGCGCCCCCUUCUCUCCUGCAGGACCCGGACCCGCGCUGCAGGGGCUGAGUGCCCCCUGGGUCGGUGUCUGAGUCUUGCCUCCCCGUAGGCUCAGUACCUGGCACGUGUCCAAGGCUCAGCAGCUGUACCACAACCACCCAACAGGAGAGAAGGAAAGGAGAGGUGCACCCCGGGGAUGUGAGGAGGCAGCACCGGGCAGAGGGGCCCUUGAGAGAUGUCACCAUCCUGUUAAGAAAGGGCUGGACCACAGCACUGCAGAGGUGAGCUCUGUUCAUUGGAGGUCUGGGGCUUGGCAUCCCGCAAGUGCCCACAGGUCCCCUGGUGUGAUGUUCUCUGGGAAGUAGGUAGAGGAGUGACAAGGGUGGCUUCGUCCUGGCCUUCUCUGGGGCCUUCAAGAACACACCUGGUUUCUAUUUAUGCCCUUGAUUCUGAGAGCUCUUCCUCAAAUGUUGGCAGCAGAACGUGUGAAUUGAAGCAGGGAAGGGAGUUUGGCAUAUCCACCUGUACGUGGGUCUCCGUCACUUCUCUGCCGCCUCCUAGCUUUGGGACCUUCUCUUACCUCUGGUUUCACCCUCUGGAAAGCAGGACUCAAAUGAGGCUAUUUGUCUUCAGAUCACAUGGCAUCUGUCUUUUACAACCUGAGACCUCUUUCACUUUUCCUUCGGAGGCCUCUCCUGUCUGGGCCAUGGGGAAGGCUUUGUGCAGGACUGGAAGCAGUUGCUGGGUCCUUGGGCUCCAUUGGGCUCACUACUCCCAGGCCUUUUCCAUGGGCCUCCUUUUCCAGCAAGCCCCCGUCUUUCCCUGCCCCUGCACUUGGACAUGAUCACCGGCUGCCCAUGGCCCGUUGGUAGGCAGUGCGGGCGGAGGGAGCGUGGGCGGGUUGUCCCGCGCUUGGAGAGUCUGCUUCCUUACCCUGCAGUUCCAGGAGCUUUCCCACCCUCCUGCUGCUCCCCUCAUACUCCUGGAGCCUCCAGGGCUUCAGGGGCUGUCCUGUGUGCGUUAGUGUCAUUGUUGGGGCUUUUAUUUCCUGCCCUGCUGUUGGGAACCGGACUACAUGUGCUGCGUGAGUUCCCCUGAAUGUUCAGUUGCUGCCACUCGGCCAUGGCAUGUUUCCAUGGGCCUGGCCUUGACACCCUUUUCUGCCCACCACUGGUGAAUGGCACGCUGAUUAGCGCUGGCCACCCUGCCGCAGGCCAUCCGCCGUCUCCCUCUUUAGAGUUAACUACUGUUCUUUUUAUGAGGAAACGGCGUGUCUAUUCAGGAAAUGAUCACUGCCAGCAUCUGCAGAGUGCUUACUGUCUGGCGGCUUCUGUGCUGAGCCCUUUUCUGCUGCCUGCCAUGCGCUGUAUGAGCAGGGGCAAGGCAGGUGCUCAUUCUCAGCUUCUUGUCCGAUGCAGAUGAGUCCACGGUGUGCAGAGGCCGUCGUGGAAGUUGUCGUGUCAGCAGCGCUGUAGACCGCAGUGUCCUUGAGUGUUCAUUCUGACUCUUCUCUGGGAGCAUUGAGAUUCCUUUUUGAGCCAAGUUUGGUGUGGAAAAAAACACUGCAGCUCAUCUCUGACUAAUUGGGGACGCUUUCAUGGAUGUCACCUUAAAGAAAGAUGAGGGGUGCUGCUUUGGAAGAAGCCUCGGGGGUCAGAACCACUCGCCCUCUCAAGGUGAGGACCUGAGUCCCAGCUCCCCCGGAGGGUCCUCCUCAUGGUAUUUAGGGGCUGACCGCGGACACUGGCGUAGCAGCGUGAAGCAGGAUGUUGUCGCAUGACCAUCGCCAAACCUUUCUCUUCUGUUGCCUCAGCACAGCGUGGAAGGACUCUGCCCUCUGUGUGAACAGGGCAGAGGGGAAGUUCUGGGGCUCCAGGGACUUGGGGUUCAGAGCUGGAGACCUUCUACUGGCUCCCAGCAGGUGCCUCAGAACACUGCUGACCAGGAAGACUGUCUCUUCCCAUCUGGACCAGGUCAUCCCGUGGCUUCUGUGUUUCCCAUUUGCUCCUAGUAUAACUUUUUAGAACCAGGAGUUCCUGUUGGAGUCUUGUGUGCCAUGCAUCUUAUCUUCUCACCCACUUAAAUAAAUCUCGAAACUGC
ensembl:lncRNA